rnacentral:rRNA from 1 species
CUGGAUAGUACUGGGAUGGAGGACCACCUGGGUAUCCCAG